rnacentral:sRNA from 12 species
CCGCGCACGCCUCUCAACGAUGCGCAACCCGCGCGGU